GCGGCUUGACACCAGUAAGGAGUUUCAGUCAAUCUAAGCAGCGUGCCUGUCCGCCCUCUCAUCCAGGAGGGGAGCACUUGACUACACAGGGAAGAAGGAGCCAGCAAGCAACGCUUCGGGACUCCACUAGGCCCAAAGUGAAGCCUGACACCAUUCAACAACCCAGAUGCUGCCUGACAUGCUGGGCUCCUCCAGUGCAUGUUGCUCCAGAUUUCCAGCACCUCUCAUGUAUUGUAGUACCCAGGUCCUGACUCCAGCUUGUGGGAAGCAACCUUGACCGCGAGAAUGUCCAGAAUUCAAACCCCGGUACGGCAACUCUUGGGUUCUGAUGAGGAAGGGCAACGAUGGAGCAUGUUAUCUUCCAGAGGAGAUAUUUCACCUUCUUCUGCCUCCAUCGGUCCGUGUUAUAAAUGUACAUGGAUGGAAAAGUUUUUGAAGGAUACGGGUCUCCCCAAACAGAUCCUUUCUCCUAGUUGAAGGAAGGUCACCGAGCCCUGGUGGGCAAAGGAAACGCUUCAAAAUCAGCCUGAAGAGAUUCAGCAUUACAUCUGUUUUCAACACAUUUUCCCAGGGUUGAAAUGUCUCAUACCAGAGGACAUGCACUUAAGGUGAGAUGUGAGGGGCAAAUAUUUUCACUCAAAGAGUGGUGGAGGCCUCAAAUGUGCUGCCUGGGGUGGUGGUAGAGGCAGAUACAUUAGGGACUUUUAAGAAAUGUUUAGAUAGCUAUGUGAAUGUGAGGGAAAUGAAAGGCUGCAGACAUCGUGUAGGCAGCUUAUUAUUCAUUGGCUUGGCACAACCUUGUGGAGUGAAGGGCCUACACCUCUGCUGUAUGAUCCAUCUACAUCUAAAAACUGGGAAGAUUUUCCACUCAAUCCAGUCCACCUGGAGGAAAUCUGUUUAAGAGGGAGGUACACUGCAUGAGGAAGCCUUCUGCUGAGUGGCAGCUGCAAAUGGAGGGACUGAACAGCCAAAAGGUGCAGCCACUAACCACAGCCACCACUUACUCUUGGCCACACUGCAACAGAGUAUGUGGAUCCUGGAUCAGCCUCUACAAACACCUGAGGAGACCAUCAUCCUCGAUGCAAGCAAUUGCACAACUCCCAGGGCAUUCACCAAGUGCUGGCAGAUGGGCUUAGCUCAGGUAGGCAUGUUGGUCAGCAUGGAUGGGUUGGGCUGAAGGGCCUGGUUUUGUGCUGUAAACUCUCUGAGUUGCUUUCAUUAGCUAGCUGGUCACAUAGUGUGGAUAGGUCUGGUCUCCACUCUGGGAAAAUGGACUGCAGCAUUUCAGUUAUUGGAGAGGCUGGGUCUCUGGAGGCUGAUGGGUUCCUGAUUAGUCAGAGUCCCAAAGGUUACGGGGAGAAGGCAGGAGAAUGUGGUUGAGAGGGGUAAUAAAUCAGCCAUGAUGGAAUGGCAGCUGUGCCAUGGAAGAUCCCAAGCCUGGCUGUGAAAGGGCAAGGGUUGGGCGUGGGGCAAGCAACCCCGUUCCAUAAAAACCCAGCUACAGAAACCCUAACAGAAGCUCUAAAGACCUUGUUCCUGAGAGAGGGAGGGUAUGCUAAGGUGGUGACAAUUUGAAAGACUUGCCCAGGACAGAGGACUCUGGCAAGCUACUUUCCGAGUCUUAUGGCCCAGUAGGGGUGAUUGGUCUAAAUAAUUACAUAUGUAAUGAUGGAAUGGUGAAGCAGGCUUGAUGGGCCGAACAGCCCAAUUCUGUUCCCAUUCUUAUGGUCUAGUUUUCUUACAGCUGAAGAGACUGAAGGAGGACCUCAUGUACCAAUUAUGACGGGCAUAGAUAUACAUAUAGCAGUCAAUUUUGCCCCAUAGCAGAGGUGUAGAAAUCCAAAGGGGCAGAAGGAGGACUAGUUUCAAUGUGGGCCGAAGGGCCUGUAAUGUGCCGUUCUAUGCUGACCCAGAGGGGUUUUGGAAUCUGGGACACUGCCUGAGGUGGUGGUGCAAUUAGAAAGGCCCAUAACUUUUCAGAAACAUCUGUCAAAGUCUCAAAUUGCAAAGUUAUAGAAUGUUAUGAACCACGUGCUGGAAAAUGGGAUUGCUGUAGAUGGGUCAGCAUCAACAUGAAGGGCCAAAUAUCCUGUUUCUAUGCUGGAUGAUUUUGCCAGUCUCCUGAAUGAUAUAGAAAACCAUCUGUUGGUUGUGUCCUGGCUGUCUACGUGUACACAAGCCAGAAUAGUACAUUAUAGAGAGCAAGCUGGUGUCCAUGCAGGACUCCCCUUGCCACACAGCUGAUGAAUCUAAAGGAAUGGAAGAGUAACGUACAGUUUGACAGCAGCACCAUUGCAAGAGUUGCCAGUCAGCAUUGGACUCAACAUAGAACUUUUCUAUUUUUCUAUUCUUAUUUAUUCCUGAAGUCUUCCCUGUGAGUGGGUACAGCCACAAGGCAGCGGGGGUUUGAGGUCAGAGUUUUCCUUCUCCGAGAUGAGCUGCUAACCAGGGCUGAUGAGCCCCAUCUGCCCGAAGCGACUGGUUUUAAGCUGCCAAUAACCUGCCUUAACCCUUUCUUCUGUCGGUAGAAACAUGUCCACCAGGCUUAGAAGCUAAGCCACGCAUGAAGGCCAGGAAAUGGACUUGAUUGUCAGAGGCUAUUUGAGGCACACACCAUUGGGAACAUUUAAUAGGUAGUGGGGACUUGGCCCCUCUAAAGCCCCAUCUGGCUCUGACAAGGGGCCUUUGUAAUCAUAUAUAAGCAUAUGCAAUUAAGUUAUUUAAACUGAAUUACAUAAAAAUUAGUAUGUGUGGGGGUAAGGGUUUCUGUCUUCAGUCUUCACUACACUGCUCCCAAUAAGUUACGUCUGAAUAAAGCCAUAAUCACUGUCUAUUGCUGAUUAACUUACUUGUCUUAUUGAAUUGGUUUAUCAGUAACUCUGCACCUGUUCCUUACUGAUAUCGUCUCUGUGGAGGAAUGCAGCUAUUUUAGAGCAGUGAGUGAAAACACUAAAAUCCAUCUCUACCCACCAGACACCAAAGGGUUUG